rnacentral:tRNA from 1 species
GCCGCCUUAGCUCAGUGGUAGAGCACUGGUCUCGUAAACCAGGGGUCGUGAGUUCAAACCUCACAGGCGGCA